AGAGUUCAAAGAGGAAACAAUGGCUGCACAGCAACUGGGAGAGUGGGGUGAGAAAUGAGACAGAAGCAGCCCUGAGGGUACCAAGUGAGGGCAUAAUUAUCAGAAUGCUAGAUUUGUACUGAUGUUCAAGAACAGUAAUGAAGCAAUCAGCCAUGCAAACAAUCUACCAUGCCCUGUAUUCAGCUGCUCAGAUACUGUUCUGAGACAACUUACUGCAGAUGAAUUAUUUUGCACUGUAUGUUAAUUAUCAGACUUCUUUGUAAUGCUGAGUCUGAUCCAACUCAUUCCAAAGUGUGUGAAUAUAUUUCCAUGGAGCGUGCAAACGGCUCUGGUGGGUGUAAGAUUUGUUAAGGUAAGACAGAUCCAGCACCUCCAAUUACUGUUGUUAGUUCUUUCCUCUGAAACAUCGUGGCUUUACAGAACUUUUACUCCAAUGUCUGCCUGGAAUGGUGCGUAUAAGGUGUGUAACCUAUAGUGGCUGAAACUAGUAAACUCUGCAGAACCAUGGAGAGAAUGGGAGAACCUAAUUCCUCAUUUCAAGGAGCUCAAUAAUGUUUUGAUUACAGCUGUACAAACAGAAAGUUAGAAGCAGAAGGGAAUAGUAAAGAUUCAGAAUCAGCAAGCCCCUAUCAUAUCCAUGACUACAAGAAUAGUAAAAUUACCGCAACCCCUAUUUGCUGGAAAAAGGCCAUGUAUGACUUGGGCUGAAUCCAAGAUUGCUGCCAACUAUACACAAAGUUAUCAUUUGAAUAAACAACUCUGUAAGGUCCAACAAAUUUCUAUUACGCAAACAUUUCGAUUGCCGUCAGAGCUGUGUGGGCUGCAUCCAGCAUGCCCCUCUCUGAGCACUCUCACCAGGGAGAGCCUUGCCUUAAGCUGCAGUAGCAUGGCUACGUGGCACCCUGGGGCUCCUGUGAGCAACCAGCUCACCCUGACACAUACAGACCAGCCAGACCAGCCUUGGCUUUCCCUGGGAUGCCUAGGCAGCUGCUGCACAGUGUUUUCCUCCCCCUCCUUAAAUAUUUUUUUCCCAGAGAUGGGUUCAGAUGUGUUCUGCAGUGGGUUUGUUUUGAAGCUGCUGUUCCAGGACCAGCUGUGUCCAGCACAGGGAAGCCCUUGGACUCUUCUCACAGAGGCCACCACUGCAGCCCCCCACUGACAAUAUUUUCCCAUGUAAACCCAAUACACAGAGUUGCUCUGCAAAUGUGAAGUAACCAACUGUUCCCAAGCAUGGCAAGUUGCAGCACGUGUUCAGCAACCAACAUACCACUGCAUCUGGGCUGCCUUUAGAGAGUCAGUGUGCAGCCAGGGUGCAGCUGGCAUCCUCAUGGCCCAGUGCUUCCCAGAGGGCUGAGUCCAUCCUUUCUUCCCGUGCUCUUAGCCACAUCACUGUCUUGCUCUUACAUUCCUCAAACAUAUGUGAUUCCCUAUGUUAAUCCAAAGCAGAACUCCCUUCUGAUCUGUGGAGUUACUUUUCUGAUACUUUUUCCCACGGAUGAUGAACAUCUAACUAAGCUCAGCUGUAAGAUUUAACUCUGUAUGAAGAGCAUGAUGGACACUCUGUGUGGUGUACAGCCAUAUCUUUAUUUUCAGAAAUCCCAGCUGAAGAUGUGGGAGACAUUGCCUUUUGAAUGUGGAGUGUGGGCAGGUACAUAUGAUUAAAAAGAGCUAUGAAUUCUCAUGACAGAGUUUGUUACCUAUUUGGUGCUGUGAAGAUGAGAAUGAACAAGCCAGUGGGAUUUUGCAUGUUUUCCUCCAGACAAAAAAUAUCCCAAAUUGCUCAAAAGAAUUUAAACCAGGCAAAGGACUUGAUAAGAGAAAGCAAAAGCAAGAAUCUCCAGCUGAAGGAUGAAAGGUCAAGGAUGAUCUAAGUAUGGAAGAGAAAGGAAAGGAUCUGCUUAUUACACAAGACUGCUCAGCCAGGACUGUUCCCCUAAGAGACAGUAUGACAGAUUGUUAUACAAUCAUGAAUGUCAUAAGGAACAAGGAACAAUUGUUCACUGUUUCUCUGAACCACAAACUGUUAUCAGCUGGGAAACCGUGCCCUGUUCCUGUGCUGGUCUGCCAGUGUCAGAAUGCUUGGUUGCAUGGGUGUACGAUCUGAAACAUUACAGAACUGCUGGCUGUCAAAAAGUGUUUGAGGGGAGAACCUGGGAGGUGUGGAGCAGUGAGUCUGACUCAGAGGAAAAUGGUAGACAUGUUCUAUGAUGUAGGAAGAUGUUGCCAAAUACAUGAAGAAAACAGACUAUUGAGAAAGAUUCAGCAUGCCUUGAGUAAAGGAGUAUCCUGUCUGCCUGGACUUACAAAGUUUGGUAGCACUGUUGGUAAGAGUGUGGACAAAGGCUAAACACAUUUGAAUUUCAAAAAACUCUCGGACCAGGUUACAUAUAAGGGUUACAAAAACAACAACAACAACAAACAAACAAACAAACAAAAAAACAACAAACAAAAAUGUAACCACAGGAUCAUAGAAUCAUAGAAUCAUAGAAUGGCCUGGAUUGAAAAGGACCACAAUG